AUUUAGCUUCAACAAUUCUUGCAUCUACUGAGGUGCUUGAUAACAUUUCUGUGCAGGAUGACAGUUUCUGUAGGUGACAAAGAUCACAGGUAACGAAUGGAAGAACAUGACUGAUGACCAAAAAGCACCCUAUGAAGCAGUGAGUUAGCUUCAAACCUUAAAUCCCCCAUUUUUAGUAUUGCUCUAAAAUACCGUGAAACAUGAGCCUCUUUGCAUGAUACAGAUUGCAGCAAAGAACAAGUAACAGUAUGUUCAAGAAAUGGAGGUUUACAGAAAGAUGAGGAGGAGGAAGCUGCCAGCCACAAGAAAGAAGAGGAGGAGAUGAUCAAGCUCAAGAAGCAGGAAGCUAUGCAAUUGCUAAAGAAGAUAGAGAAGACAGAAAAUAUCAUUAAGAAAAAAGAGAAUCAAAGAAAGAAACAGAAGGAAGAGAAGAAUGUAGAUCCCAACAGGCCAAAGAAGCAGGCUUCCUCAUUCCUUCUGUUCAGCAAAGAGGAAAGGAAGAAGAUAGUGGAAGAGAAGCCUGGAACUAACAAUACAACAGUUAAUGCUCUCAUUUCUCUCAAAUGGAAGUCCGUAUUUGUAGCUCUUUUGAUGCUACUCAGUUGUGUCCGUAUUUGUAGCUCUUUUGAUGCUACUCAGUUGUUUUUCAAUCACUCUUGCAAGGAGUUCUGUGAACUGACAAGCAGGUUAGUUUUCCUAUUUUUGCAGCUUAAAUGCUAAUAUUUCAAUCACUGGAUUGUUCUUCCCUUCUCCAGCUAAAUGACUUACUCCUCUCUUUUUUGCUUAGCUAUCACAGUAAUUGUACACCGUUAAUGUGUAUUGAUUUUGUUUCAAGGUUGUCUGGUGGUAACCUGGCUUCUAAUAUUCCUCCUAAUGAUGUCUUGGUUACUUCUAUUGAAGAUAUCUACUUAAAAAAGCAGCUAGGAGAGUAUCGGGUAGCAGGUUGCAUUGUUGAUGUGGAAAGUGUGGCUGAUUGAUAUUACAUCUCUUGCAAGUCUAAUUCUUGCAAGAGAAAGGUGACCGAGUGUGGUGGAAUGCUGUUUUGUAUGUAUAUAGAUCACUAUAUAUGUAUUUGUGUUUGAAAAAAAACAUAUAAAAUUUAAUCAUUUUGUUGAUCAAUAUUUUCUUCAAAUGUAUUUGUAAUGCAAAACAGUGACAUUAUGCAUAGUUAAAAUAUUAACAUGCACAAUUUUGUAGGUUAAGAACCACAAUUAUAGUACUUUUGCAUUAGAAUAUUUUCUUAGAGUUCUUUUGUAGGCUGAGAUGUACAGUUUAGUGUAGCAGAAUAAUUUGAUAAUGUUAAAAAAUGGUAUUUUCUGAAA